rnacentral:rRNA from 1 species
UUUUUAAAAAACAUCGCUCCUUGUAUAAAAUAAAUAAGGAGUAGGACCUGCCCAGUGAAUUUUCAACGGCCGCGGUACUCUGACCGUGCAAAGGUAGCAUAAUAAUUUGCCUUAUAAUUGAAGGCUGGUAUGAAUGGUUUGACGAGAAUAAAGCUGUCUCUUUAUAAUUUACUAGAAAUUUAUUUGUGGAUGAAAAAGUCCACAUAUUAUUAAAAGACAAGAAGACCCUAUCGAGCUUAAAAGAAUUUAGUAGAACAAAUAGGAUUAAUUGAGACUAAAAAAUUGUCUACUAAAAAUUUUAGUUGGGGCGACCAAGGAACAAACAAAGCUUCCUUAAUUUAGUACAUUCACUUAUUGGUUUUGAUCCAGAAUUUUCUGAUCAAUAGAAUUAGUUACCGUAGGGAUAACAGCAUUAUCUUUUUUGAGAGUUCCUAUCGAAAAAAAGGUUUGUGACCUCGAUGUUGGACCAGAAUGUCCUAAAGAUGCAGCAGUCUUUAAGGGUUGGUCUGUUCGACCAUUAAUAUUCUACGUGAUCUGGUUCCA